rnacentral:lncRNA from 1 species
UUAGAUGCAGAUAAAUGCAAAAUGUGAAUGAUGCUGAUGCAUGAAUGCAAUGCACUGUACCAUCCUCCAAGUCAUCUGAACAUCCACUACACUGAGUUACGGUCUCGAAACUGAUCACAACCAUCUGAGGUACGGAGUAACCACAAUUCCGACUUAGGGUUCCGAAAUAAAUGGGACCGAAGGAUAUACCACCAUCAUCAUUGGAAAGUCACUGAUCUGAUAACGACAUGAUCGCCUGUACCAACCCAG